CGGGACACGUGGUAUCCUGUCUGAAUAUGGGGGGACCAUCCUCCAAGGCUAAAUACUCCUGACUGACCGAUAGUGAACCAGUACCGUGAGGGAAAGGCGAAAAGAACCCCGGCGAGGGGAGUGAAAAAGAACCUGAAACCGUGUACGUACAAGCAGUGGGAGCACGCUUAGGCGUGUGACUGCGUACCUUUUGUAUAAUGGGUCAGCGACUUAUAUUCUGUAGCAAGGUUAACCGAAUAGGGGAGCCGAAGGGAAACCGAGUCUUAACUGGGCGUUAAGUUGCAGGGUAUAGACCCGAAACCCGGUGAUCUAGCCAUGGGCAGGUUGAAGGUUGGGUAACACUAACUGGAGGACCGAACCGACUAAUGUUGAAAAAUUAGCGGAUGACUUGUGGCUGGGGGUGAAAGGCCAAUCAAACCGGGAGAUAGCUGGUUCUCCCCGAAAGCUAUUUAGGUAGCGCCUCGUGAAUUCAUCUCCGGGGGUAGAGCACUGUUUCGGCAAGGGGGUCAUCCCGACUUACCAACCCGAUGCAAACUGCGAAUACCGGAGAAUGUUAUCACGGGAGACACACGGCGGGUGCUAACGUCCGUCGUGAAGAGGGAAACAACCCAGACCGCCAGCUAAGGUCCCAAAGUCAUGGUUAAGUGGGAAACGAUGUGGGAAGGCCCAGACAGCCAGGAUGUUGGCUUAGAAGCAGCCAUCAUUUAAAGAAAGCGUAAUAGCUCACUGGUCGAGUCGGCCUGCGCGGAAGAUGUAACGGGGCUAAACCAUGCACCGAAGCUGCGGCAGCGACGCUGAUGCGUUGUUGGGUAGGGGAGCGUUCUGUAAGCCUGCGAAGGUGUGCUGUGAGGCAUGCUGGAGGUAUCAGAAGUGCGAAUGCUGACAUAAGUAACGAUAAAGCGGGUGAAAAGCCCGCUCGCCGGAAGACCAAGGGUUCCUGUCCAACGUUAAUCGGGGCAGGGUGAGUCGACCCCUAAGGCGAGGCCGAAAGGCGUAGUCGAUGGGAAACAGGUUAAUAUUCCUGUACUUGGUGUUACUGCGAAGGGGGGACGGAGAAGGCUAUGUUGGCCGGGCGACGGUUGUCCCGGUUUAAGCGUGUAGGCUGGUUUUCCAGGCAAAUCCGGAAAAUCAAGGCUGAGGCGUGAUGACGAGGCACUACGGUGCUGAAGCAACAAAUGCCCUGCUUCCAGGAAAAGCCUCUAAGCAUCAGGUAACAUCAAAUCGUACCCCAAACCGACACAGGUGGUCAGGUAGAGAAUACCAAGGCGCUUGAGAGAACUCGGGUGAAGGAACUAGGCAAAAUGGUGCCGUAACUUCGGGAGAAGGCACGCUGAUAUGUAGGUGAAGCGACUUGCUCGUGGAGCUGAAAUCAGUCGAAGAUACCAGCUGGCUGCAACUGUUUAUUAAAAACACAGCACUGUGCAAACACGAAAGUGGACGUAUACGGUGUGACGCCUGCCCGGUGCCGGAAGGUUAAUUGAUGGGGUUAGCGCAAGCGAAGCUCUUGAUCGAAGCCCCGGUAAACGGCGGCCGUAACUAUAACGGUCCUAAGGUAGCGAAAUUCCUUGUCGGGUAAGUUCCGACCUGCACGAAUGGCGUAAUGAUGGCCAGGCUGUCUCCACCCGAGACUCAGUGAAAUUGAACUCGCUGUGAAGAUGCAGUGUACCCGCGGCAAGACGGAAAGACCCCGUGAACCUUUACUAUAGCUUGACACUGAACAUUGAGCCUUGAUGUGUAGGAUAGGUGGGAGGCUUUGAAGUGUGGACGCCAGUCUGCAUGGAGCCGACCUUGAAAUACCACCCUUUAAUGUUUGAUGUUC
rnacentral:rRNA from 1 species